GUGUAUCAGAGAGACAACAUGAUAAUUCCUUUUUACUGCUCACACAAUUGCCAUGCUCUCUGCCUUUAGUUUCUCUAGAUUAACUUUCUUGACUCCAGAUUAAUCAUCCUAAAGUCCACCUAGCAGAAAUAAAUUAUUAUAGUUAGGCAUAUUUUAAAGGACUAACAGUGCCAUGUUCACUAACAUUGUAUUUGAGUAUUCGUAUAGAGCUGUUCAAUGGUAGAAUUAGAAUAGACAUUUUAACACAGAAUCAGAUUUGAAGUUAUGUGUUUUGAGGGUUAUAAUCAGUGGAUGUGGUGAUUCUUAUUUAGGAUAUUUUCCUGGUUAUCCCAGUCCCGUACUUUGCUUUGGAAUUUGGGUUUGAUAUUGUUGGCUUGAUUGUUUGCAGCAUAAGGAAAUCUUAGUUCACUUUCUAAAAGUCUUGGGCUUCAUGGGAACAAUGACUACCCCAUUCCAUGAGUAGCAUCUAAUUCUGAUGGGGUUCAUAUACAUCAGAUCUUGCUCUUCUCUGAUAGUCUCAAGUGCAUUACAUUUUCAGGAUUUGAGAUCACCUUAUACUUAGCAGUAGAGCUCUUUAAACCAUCUUAUACAAAUGAUGACCAAAAACAUACGUGAGUUGUUCUUAUUCUGGUUCGUGUUCAUUCUUUUAAAACCUUAUUUGUAUAGAACAAGAGCAGAAAAUAUAUAUCCUAUUGUUUUGCAGAGUGGUAGAAACAUGAAAAGAUCCUUGUAAUGGUUGGAUUGCAUUAUUGGUGAUGUAAAAAUAUAUUCCAUAUAAGAAAUUAACACAAAUAUAUCAAAAUUAUCACAGUUGUAUCAUCACCAGAGUUAGGCAGUUAAUGAGCACAUUCAAAGUAAUGGAAUGGACUUCUAUCAUUGAUGAUUUGCUUGCAAAGCAAGUGCCAGAGUCAGUGUCAUAGGAAUGUACUCCUAGUUUAUGGAAUAAAUAAGAUUAUGUGCUCCAGACAUUAGUAUCACUUCCUAGGCAUACAUGAUGCUGCCUCUUUGCAAUGGUUAGACUUUAGGACCUGGAACCUUUAGUGGCCGGGGUAAAUUAAAUUCUAAAGAUCUUAUAUUUUGAAGAGGUGCUUUAAACAUGACAUGGAUGAAAAAACAAAGUGGGCACAUUAUCUCGGGUUGGUAAUGCUUGAAUUAAAUAUCAUUUGGUAAUUAGCACAAGGAUGCAUUUGAUGAACCAAGUGUUAUUGGUCUGUGCUGAAAGUUACUGUGAUGAGUGUUACUAGUUGAGCAAUUAAGGAAUGGUGCUUGAAUUAAAUAUCAUUGUGGUGAUUAGCACAAGGAUGCAUUUGAUGAACCAAGUGUUAUUGGUCUGUGCUGAAAGUUACUGUAAUGAGUAUCAUUAGUUGAGCAAUUAAUGAAUGGUGUUAUGAGCUUGCUGUGGAGUACGAAGGAAAGCAUGAUAACGAAAACGUGCAGAGGACUGCAUUGCUAUACAAGUUUGGACCCAGAGGAUACCAUUAUCAAAUCCUUCACACACAUGCUUACCUUGGCAAAGGAGGUCCAGAUUGCUUAUCACAUAAAAAGGGUAACUUUGCAGAUGAAGGAGCAAGGUGUAAUUUGUGUUCCACUUUGUCUUCUACAAGGCCUGGGAAUCUUUUGAGGCAAAUAGGAUUUGUUUUCAAGAGACAGUUGCUUGUUUGAUAAUUUAUUUGCUAUGUUUUACAAUGUUCUCACUGGUGUAAUUAUAUAUUUCUAAUUUUUACAUGUGCUUUGCUAAGACAGGCUAGUCUUGCCCAAGUGUAACAGAUAUAUGCUAUUAUUGUUGUCAAAUUCAAUCAAUGGAACAUAAGGCCUCAAUUGUCAAUGUAACUCGUUUGUGAUCUACAAGCUUUUAUC